GAUGAACGCUGGCGGCGUGCCUAACACAUGCAAGUCGAACGAAGCACCUUACCUGAUUCUUCGGAUGAAAGUUUGGUGACUGAGUGGCGGACGGGUGAGUAACGCGUGGGUAACCUGCCCUGUACAGGGGGAUAACAGCUGGAAACGGCUGCUAAUACCGCAUAAGCGCACGAGGAGACAUCUCCUUGUGUGAAAAACUCCGGUGGUACAGGAUGGGCCCGCGUCUGAUUAGCUGGUUGGCAGGGUAACGGCCUACCAAGGCAACGAUCAGUAGCCGGUCUGAGAGGAUGAACGGCCACAUUGGAACUGAGACACGGUCCAAACUCCUACGGGAGGCAGCAGUGGGGAAUAUUGCACAAUGGGGGAAACCCUGAUGCAGCAACGCCGCGUGAGUGAAGAAGUAUUUCGGUAUGUAAAGCUCUAUCAGCAGGGAAGAUAAUGACGGUACCUGACUAAGAAGCUCCGGCUAAAUACGU
rnacentral:rRNA from 1 species